rnacentral:rRNA from 1 species
GGACGGGUGAGUAAUGCCUAGGAAUCUGCCUAGUAGUGGGGGAUAACUUGCCGAAAGGUAAGCUAAUACCGCGUACGUCCUACGGGAGAAAGCAGGGGAGCCUUUGGGUCCUUGCGCUAUUAGAUGAGCCUAGGUCGGAUUAGUUAGUUGGUGGGGUAAUGGCUCACCAAGGCAGCGAUCCGUAGCUGGUCUGAGAGGAUGAUCAGCCACACUGGGACUGAGACACGGCCCAGACUCCUACGGGAGGCAGCAGUGGGGAAUAUUGGACAAUGGGGGCAACCCUGAUCCAGCCAUGCCGCGUGUGUGAAGAAGGUCUUCGGAUUGUAAAGCACUUUAAGUUGGGAGGAAGGGCUCACGGUUAAUACCCGCUGAGUUUUGACGUUACCAACAGAAUAAGCACCGGCUAACUUCGUGCCAGCAGCCGCGGUAAUACGAAGGGUGCAAGCGUUAAUCGGAAUUACUGGGCGUAAAG